rnacentral:rRNA from 1 species
GAUGAACGCUGGCGGCGUGCCUAAUACAUGCAAGUCGAGCGAACGGACGAGAAGCUUGCUUCUCUGAUGUUAGCGGCGGACGGGUGAGUAACACGUGGAUAACCUACCUAUAAGACUGGGAUAACUUCGGGAAACCGGAGCUAAUACCGGAUAAUAUUUUGAACCGCAUGGUUCAAAAGUGAAAGACGGUCUUGCUGUCACUUAUAGAUGGAUCCGCGCUGCAUUAGCUAGUUGGUAAGGUAACGGCUUACCGAGGCAACGAUGCAUAGCCGACCUGAGAGGGUGAUCGGCCACACUGGAACUGAGACACGGUCCAGACUCCUACGGGAGGCAGCAGUAGGGAAUCUUCCGCAAUGGGCGAAAGCCUGACGGAGCAACGCCGCGUGAGUGAUGAAGGUCUUCGGAUCGUAAAACUCUGUUAUUAGGGAAGAACAUAUGUGUAAGUAACUGUGCACAUCUUGACGGUACCUAAUCAGAAAGCCACGGCUAACAACGUG